GCAUGACGUGACUCGAUUUUUGGCCCUCUCGUGCAUACCUGAUCAAAUGUGGGACCCAUUCCCAUCUCUCCCACCUCCAUCCCUCCACUAAUAAACGGCUUCAGGGUUUAUAUCCUCCCCCAUUCCAUUCUUCCCCUGCAUCAAAGAAAAAACAGAGGGUAAUGGGUUAAGUGUUUUGCUCCUCUUCUUCUGCAACUGAGUUGGAUUUGUGUUGGAGAAAUGACAUCGAGUGGGUCGAUUGAAAUGGGGGAAGCUUGUGCGACAUCAUCCAAUGUCUCUCGAGCUUAUAUUCUUUCUCGAACAAGGGACCAGCCUUUCUCCCUUUCCCGAGCAGGGGAACACUCCUUUACAAGCUUUCUCCGAGGUUGUCCCACCUGCAUGCCUCCCAAAGCAACAAUUUCUUUUAUGCAGAUUCUCAACUCUAACAUAGUACAAAACAUGGAAAAAAUAAAUAUGGACCACCUCUGGACUGAUAAGCUUUUCCCGAUUCUCCAAACUGCCGCACUAUGGACUCCCAAUGCUCCCUUUGGCUCCAACAAUUCACUCCCUUCAACGAUCGGAAGCUUUUCCAGAGUCAUGCAGUUCGAUUUUUAAUCUAGGGUUAUACAGUGGAGCUGGGGACAAGAGGGAAUAUGGAGAGAGGAUGGAAAUAGAGGAGAGGGAACCACAGAGAGGGAAAUGAGAAGAAGUGGGAAAAGCUACGUCUCUGGUUAAAUUUUUUUUUCAAAAUAUCUUGUAAUCACGAUAUAUGCGAUGUGGUGAAAAAUGUCGAAAUAUCAUGCUGUAUGGUGUAAUUUUUCCUUCUUUUUUUGAAUUGCCUCAAUUGUAUCCGGAAUAUGUACGAUCCGAUUAAUUUCGGUUCAAGCGAAGUCAAUUCACCGAGAUGUAAAACUCUCUUUACAUGA